rnacentral:piRNA from 1 species
AGGCGGCUGGUGAGGCAGGAGACG